UCACAAAUCGCCCUCAGGCUCUUUUGUCUUUUCCUUGACUUCUUUUAAGUUUUCCUACGUCCUCGCUCUCUCCGCUAAUCAGCUUUUUUCACUUUUCUUUCCUGUAUUCGUCAUCUUCAUCAAAGCCGGGUACAAAGACUA
ensembl:ncRNA C35A5.13 ncRNA